rnacentral:tRNA from 1 species
AGAAUAUUUAUGAUAUAAAGGAAACUUCUAAUUUCCCAUAAAGCGGUUAAACUCCGUUUAUAUUCUA